rnacentral:rRNA from 1 species
UACGGAGGGGGCUAGCGUUAUUCGGAUUUACUGGGCGUAAAGCGCACGUAGGCGGACUGGAAAGUCAGAGGUGAAAUCCCAGGGCUCAACCUUGGAACUGCCUUUGAAACUCGCAGUCUUGAGUUCGAGAGAGGUGAGUGGAAUUCCGAGUGUAGAGGUGAAAUUCGUAGAUAUUCGGAGGAACACCAGUGGCGAAGGCGGCUCACUGGCUCGAUACUGACGCUGAGGUGCGAAAGCGUGGGGAGCAAACAGG